rnacentral:rRNA from 1 species
GGGUUGUGAGGUUAAGCGACUAAGCGUACACGGUGGAUGCCUAGGCAGUCAGAGGCGAUGAAGGGCGUGCUAAUCUGCGAAAAGCGUCGGCAAGGUGAUAUGAACCGUUACACCCGACGAUACCCGAAUGGGGAAACCCAGUGCAAUACGUUGCACUAUUUCAUGGUGAAUACAUAGCCAUGAAAGGCGAACCGGGGGAACUGAAACAUCUCAGUACCCCGAGGAAAAGAAAUCAACCGAGAUUCCCCCAGUAGCGGCGAGCGAACGGGGAGGAGCCCAGAACCAUCAUCAGUUUGUGUGUCAGUGGAAGCGUCUGGAAAGUCGCGCAACAAAGGGUGAUAGUCCCGUACACGAAGAUGCACAUGCUGUGAGUUCGAUGAGUAGGGCGGGACACGAGAUAUCCUGUCUGAAGAUGGGGGGACCAUCCUCCAAGGCUAAAUACUCCUGACUGACCGAUAGUGAACCAGUACCGUGAGGGAAAGGCGAAAAGAACCCCGGCGAGGGGAGUGAAACAGAACCUGAAACCGUGUACGUACAAGCAGUGGGAGCCCCACCACCAAAACACUUCCGGGCCGAGAGGCGAUGCGGAUGUCGAGGUGACGGUUGUCAUCGCGUUUUUUGCGAUGAGCAACACACAAAACAAGCCGUGAGUGUUUUGGGGUGGGGUGACUGCGUACCUUUUGUAUAAUGGGUCAGCGACUUAUAUUCUGUAGCAAGGUUAACCGAAUAGGGGAGCCGCAGGGAAACCGAGUCUUAACUGGGCGUCAAGUUGCAGGGUAUAGACCCGAAACCCGGUGAUCUAGCCAUGGGCAGGUUGAAGGUUGGGUAACACUAACUGGAGGACCGAACCGACUAAUGUUGAAAAAUUAGCGGAUGACUUGUGGCUGGGGGUGAAAGGCCAAUCAAACCGGGAGAUAGCUGGUUCUCCCCGAAAGCUAUUUAGGUAGCGCCUCGUGAACUCAUCUGCGGGGGUAGAGCACUGUUUCGACUAGGGGGUCAUCCCGACUUACCAACUCGAUGCAAACUGCGAAUACCGUAGAAUGUAAUCACGGGAGACACACGGCGGGUGCUAACGUCCGUCGUGAAGAGGGAAACAACCCAGACCGCCAGCUAAGGUCCCAAAGUCAUGGUUAAGUGGGAAACGAUGUGGGAAGGCCCAGACAGCCAGGAUGUUGGCUUAGAAGCAGCCAUCAUUUAAAGAAAGCGUAAUAGCUCACUGGUCGAGUCGGCCUGCGCGGAAGAUGUAACGGGGCUAAACCAUGCACCGAAGCUGCGGCAGCGAACGUAUCACUUAAAACGCUUAACGUGACGGCGAAGCUGGCACGUUCAAGCCACAAAAACGUUGAGUUGGCCUGAGCGCUGACAGACGGCAAGGCGUUUUAAGGAUACGUUCGUUGGGUAGGGGAGCGUUCUGUAAGCCGUAGAAGGUGGCCUGUGAGGGCUGCUGGAGGUAUCAGAAGUGCGAAUGCUGACAUAAGUAACGAUAAUGCGGGUGAAAAACCCGCACGCCGGAAGACCAAGGGUUCCUGUCCAACGUUAAUCGGGGCAGGGUGAGUCGACCCCUAAGGCGAGGCCGAAAGGCGUAGUCGAUGGGAAACGGGUUAAUAUUCCCGUACUGGUUGUUACUGCGAAGGGGGGACGGAGAAAGCUAGGUUGGCCGGGCGACGGUAGUCCCGGUUUAAGCGUGAAGGUGGGUGUUUUUGGAAAAUCCGGAACACCGUUAACACUGAGGCGUGACGACGAGUCACUACGGUGACGAAGUAACCGAUGCUACGCUUCCAGGAAAAGCCUCUAAGCACCAGGUAACAGUCAAUCGUACCCCAAACCGACACAGGUGGUCAGGUAGAGAAUACUCAGGCGCUUGAGAGAACUCGGGUGAAGGAACUAGGCAAAAUGGUGCCGUAACUUCGGGAGAAGGCACGCUGGAUUUGGUGAAGUCCCUUGCGGAUGGAGCUGAGACCAGUCGCAGAUACCAGCUGGCUGCAACUGUUUAAUAAAAACACAGCACUGUGCAAACACGAAAGUGGACGUAUACGGUGUGACGCCUGCCCGGUGCCGGAAGGUUAAUUGAUGGGGUCAGCCUUAGGGCGAAGCUCUUGAUCGAAGCCCCGGUAAACGGCGGCCGUAACUAUAACGGUCCUAAGGUAGCGAAAUUCCUUGUCGGGUAAGUUCCGACCUGCACGAAUGGCGUAAUGAUGGCCAGGCUGUCUCCACCCGAGACUCAGUGAAAUUGAACUCGCUGUGAAGAUGCAGUGUACCCGCGGCAAGACGGAAAGACCCCGUGAACCUUUACUAUAGCUUGACACUGAACCUUGAGCCUUGAUGUGUAGGAUAGGUGGGAGGCUGUGAAGCGUGGACGCCAGUCUGCGUGGAGCCGACCUUGAAAUACCACCCUUUGAUGUUUGAUGUUCUAACGUGGGCCCGUAAUCCGGGUUGCGGACAGUGUCUGGUGGGUAGUUUGACUGGGGCGGUCUCCUCCCAAAGCGUAACGGAGGAGCACGAAGGUUAGCUAAUCCUGGUCGGACAUCAGGAGGUUAGUGCAAAGGCAUAAGCUAGCUUGACUGCGAGAGUGACGGCUCGAGCAGGUGCGAAAGCAGGUCUUAGUGAUCCGGUGGUUCUGAAUGGAAGGGCCAUCGCUCAACGGAUAAAAGGUACUCCGGGGAUAACAGGCUGAUACCGCCCAAGAGUUCAUAUCGACGGCGGUGUUUGGCACCUCGAUGUCGGCUCAUCACAUCCUGGGGCUGAAGUAGGUCCCAAGGGUAUGGCUGUUCGCCAUUUAAAGUGGUACGCGAGCUGGGUUUAGAACGUCGUGAGACAGUUCGGUCCCUAUCUGCCGUGGGCGUUGGAAGAUUGAGAGGGGUUGCUCCUAGUACGAGAGGACCGGAGUGAACGCACCACUGGUGUACGGGUUGUGAUGCCAAUUGCAUUGCCCGGUAGCUAAGUGCGGAAGAGAUAACCGCUGAAAGCAUCUAAGCGGGAAACUUGCCUCGAGAUGAGUCUUCCCUGGGACUUCGAGUCCCCUGAAGGGCCGUUGAAGACGACGACGUAGAUAGGCCGGGUGUGUAAGCGCAGCGAUGCGUUGAGCUAACCGGUACUAAUGACCCGAGAGGCUUAACCUUACAACACCGAAGGUGUUU